AUUGAACGCUGGCGGCAUGCCUUACACAUGCAAGUCGAGCGUGAAAGCGGGGCAACCCGCAAGUAGAGUGGCGGACGGGUGAGUAAUACAUCGGAACGUGUCCAGUAAUGGGGGAUAACCUAGCGAAAGUUAGGCUAAUACCGCAUACGAUCUGCGGAUGAAAGCGGGGGAUGCGGCACUAAAGGCUUUUGGCGAAGGUGGCCAAAGGUGAGUCAAGAGCUUUUAGUGCNGCACCUCGCGUUAUUGGAGCGGCUGAUGUCUGAUUAGCUAGUUGGUGAGGUAAAGGCUUACCAAGGCGACGAUCAGUAGCUGGUCUGAGAGGACGGCCAGCCACACUGGGACUGAGACACGG
rnacentral:rRNA from 1 species